CUGGCCUCUGGACUUGCCUCUCUGCACGGCCAGCAGCGAGGGCCUGCCAGCCCGGCGGCCGCAGCAGUUACUUGAGCCAGAUGAUGGGCCUGCUUGGCAGUUCCUGGCCAUCCGACCCCGCGGUCCUGUUCCCAGGCAGACCCUGCUCCCCCCAUGCCAGUUUCCCCCACCAGUAUCUUGAGGGUAACUAGUCAUUAUAGAAGAGCAUGUGCUUCAGGACGGAUGGAACUGGGUUCAAAUCCCAGCCCUGUCACCUGCUGGCUGUGUGAGCUUGGGCAAAUGUGUCCUCCCUUCUGACUCAGUCUCCUGUCCUGUGGAAUGGGGAUGAACCUCAUAACUCCUGUUUCUCUGGGUGAUUGGAAGCUGAGAUGAAGUCCACAAAGUGCCUUUUGGCAAACAGGAGGUGCCCAAUAAAUGGGCUUCCUCUUACCUUCCUCAGGCACUGUCUUCUCCUUGACCUGCUCAUCUCACUUACUCACACACAAAACAAGAAACAAAAGCCCCCAGCUAGCCCCCAACUACCUCCCGGCCCCAGACUUGACGCAGCCAACAGCGUCCCUGCAGCAUGCUCCCGGCCACCCCGCCGCAGGGGUGAGGGAGGCUCGUACCUGGAGGAUCUGGCUGGCCUCUGUACUAUGAGGCUCUCCAGGGGGACGUGGGAGGUGUCUUCUGAGCUGUGACUCAGGUUCCAGAGUCUUGUUUUUUCACCAAAUGCAGGACAGGAGAGGCAACCUGUCAACACCACCCCUGGCCUGCAGGCUCCUCACUUUGUCCCCAUGUCACAUCCCUGCACUUUCCAGCCUCCAGCUCUUACCAGUGCCCUUGACCCCAUCUGGAAUACCCUUCUUCUCCCCGCUGUCCCCCACCCCCAACCCUAGGCCUCACAUCAGCUCUGGGGCUUAGACAUGACAGAGGAGGAAACUGAGCCUCAGGGACAUUCUGAUGUUGGUGUUUUUUUAUGAGAAUGUGUUCUGUGUGAUAUAUUGUGUCACUUCUUAAAAGGCAAAAUGAAACAGGUUGCCUGGGUUACAGUGGAUCUGGAAUGGAAACAAAGGUCUGCAGGACUCCAAAUGUCUCAUUCAUCCUCUUCCCUCUGCCACACCCCUUACAUGGUGUGACUACAUGGACCCUACUGUAGCUUACUUCCUAAAUAUCACUUAACAAGUAAUUGUGUCAAUAAACC
rnacentral:lncRNA from 1 species